rnacentral:lncRNA from 1 species
ACAACAACAACAACUACCCAGUAUAUUCCCACCAGGUGGGGUCUGGGGAGGGUAAUUUGUAGACGAGUCUUACCCCUACCCGAAGGGGCAGAGAGGCUGUUUCCAAUCGACCCUCGGCGCAUAGGAUAAAAUGAAAAGCUGCAUUAAAACAAAGACAAAAGUAGAAACCAAAGCAAGACAAAACGAAAUAAUAAAGCAUAAGUAAUCCCGCAGAAAUAACGUAAAUAAUUAUGUAAACAUAAGAAACAUAAAUACAGUCG